rfam:Aedes aegypti strain Liverpool supercont1.80 genomic scaffold, whole genome shotgun sequence.
AGCCCAGCAACUCUUAUCUCUACCUCCUCGUGGUACUUGCCGGGUGACAUUGUCGAUUUAUUUAUCUAAAAGAAAUAAG